rnacentral:rRNA from 1 species
AGCGAACGCUGGCGGCAGGCCUAACACAUGCCAGUCGAACGGACCCUUCGGGGUUAGUGGCGGACGGGUGAGUAACACGUGGGAACGUGCCUUUAGGUUCGGAAUAGCUCCUGGAAACGGGUGGUAAUGCCGAAUGUGCCCUUCGGGGGAAAGAUUUAUCGCCUUUAGAGCGGCCCGCGUCUGAUUAGCUAGUUGGUGAGGUAGCGGCUCACCAAGGCGACGAUCAGUAGCUGGUCUGAGAGGAUGACCAGCCACACUGGGACUGAGACACGGCCCAGACUCCUACGGGAGGCAGCAGUGGGGAAUCUUGCGCAAUGGGCGAAAGCCUGACGCAGCCAUGCCGCGUGAAUGAUGAAGGUCUUAGGAUUGUAAAAUUCUUUCACCGGGGACGAUAAUGACGGUACCCGGAGAAGAAGCCCCGGCUAACUUCGUG